rnacentral:rRNA from 1 species
GUGCCAGCAGCCGCGGUAAUACGUAGGUGACGAGCGUUAUCCGGAAUUACUGGGCGUAAAGCGCACGCAGGCGGCGCCUUAAGUCUGGCGUGAAAUCUCUCGGCUUAACCGGGAGGGGUCGUUGGAGACUGAGGUGCUUGAGGCGAUGAGAGGGGUGUAGAAUUCCCGGUGUAGUGGUGGAAUGCGUAGAUAUCGGGAGGAAUACCAGUGGCGAAAGCGACACCCUGGCGUUAGCCUGACGCUCAUGUGCGAAAGCGUGGGGAGCGAACGGGAUUAGAAACCCUCGUAGUCC